GGGGGACUAGCAUAUCAAUAAGCGGAGGAAAAGAAACCAACAGGGAUUGCCCUAGUAACGGCGAGUGAAGCGGCAACAGCUCAAAUUUGAAAGCUGGCUCCGGCCCGCGUUGUAAUUUGCAGAGGAUGCUUCUGGCGAGGUGCCUUCCGAGUUCCCUGGAACGGGACGCCAUAGAGGGUGAGAGCCCCGUAUGGAUGGACACCAAACCUGUGUGAAGCUCCUUCAACGAGUCGAGUAGUUUGGGAAUGCUGCUCUAAAUGGGAGGUAAAUCUCUUCUAAAGCUAAAUACCGGCCAGAGACCGAUAGCGCACAAGUAGAGUGAUCGAAAGAUGAAAAGCACCUUGAAAAGGGGGUUAAACAGUACGUGAAAUUGUUGAAAGGGAAGCGCUUGUGACCAGACUUGCGCCGGGCAGCUCAUCAGGGGUUCUCCCCUGUGCACUCUGCCCGGCUCAGGCCAGCAUCGGUUCUCGUGGGAGGAUAAGAACGGUAGGAACGUGGCCCCCCUCCGGGGGGGUGUUAUAGCCUGCCGUACGAUACUCCCGUGGGGACCGAGGUUCGCGCUCCGCAAGGAUGCUGGCGUAAUGGUCAUCAGCGACCCGUCUUGAAACACGGACCAAGGAGUCGUCCAUUAGAGCGAGCGUUUGGGUGUAAAACCCGCACGCGUAAUGAAAGUGAACGCAGGUGAGAGCUUCGGCGCAUCAUCGACCGAUCCUGAUGUCUUCGGAUGGAUUUGAGUAAGAGUUUUAACGGACGGACCCGAAAGACAGUGAACUAUGCUUGUAUAGGGUGAAGCCAGAGGAAACUCUGGUGGAGGCUCGCAGCGGUUCUGACGUGCAAAUCGAUCGUCAAAUAUGAGCAUGGGGCGAAAGACUAAUCGAA
rnacentral:rRNA from 1 species